AAAAAAAGCAACCCUGGGUUUCCAUGCCAACAUUUGACUGUCCGUCUUAUAUGAAAUUUUUUUAUAAUUAAUAUUUUCAUUGUUGUUAGAUGAUAAAACAUAAUUAAUACUUUAUGCGUGACUUAUUUUUUUAAAAUUUUUUUAUAUUUUUUUCAAAUAAGACGGACGGUCAAAACGUUAGAAACGGAAACUAGUGUUUGUCUUUUUU
rfam:Oryza nivara chromosome 10, whole genome shotgun sequence.